rnacentral:rRNA from 1 species
UGGGGGAUAUUGCACAAUGGGCGAAAGCCUGAUGCAGCGACGCCGCGUGGGGGAUGAAGGCCUUCGGGUUGUAAACUUCUUUUGCUCUGAACAAGGCAUGCUAAUGGGUGUGUUGAGUGUAGGGGUUGAUUAGCGCCGGCUAACUACGUGCCAGCAGCCGCGGUAAUACGUAGGGCGCGAGCGUUGUCCGGAACUAUUGGGCGUAAAGGGCUUGUAGGUGGCUGGUUGCGUCUGUCGUGAAAGCUCAUGGCUUAACUGUGGGUUUGCGGUGGGUACGGGCUGGCUUGAGUGCAGUAGGGGAGGCUGGAAUUCCUGGUGUAGCGGUGGAAUGCGCAGAUAUCAGGAGGAAUACCGGUGGCGAAGGCGGGUCUCUGGGCUGUUACUGACACUGAGGAGCGAAAGCAUGGGGAGCGAACAGG